UACAGAGGGGGCAAGCGUUAUUCGGAAUUAUUGGGCGUAAAGGGCGCGUAGGCGGCUUGGCAAGUGGAUGGUGAAAUCCCUCGGCUUAACCGAGGAACUGCCGUCCAAACUGCUUUGCUUGAGACCGGGAGAGGUGAGUGGAAUUCCCAGUGUAGCGGUGAAAUGCGUAGAUAUUGGGAGGAACACCAGUGGCGAAGGCGGCUCACUGGACCGGUACUGACGCUGAGGCGCGAAAGCGUGGGGAGCAAACAGG
rnacentral:rRNA from 1 species